GAUGAACGCUGGCGGCGUGCCUAAUACAUGCAAGACGAGCGAACGGACGAGAAGCUUGCUUUUCUGAUGUUAGCGGCGGACGGGUGAGUAACACGUGGAUAACCUACCUAUAAGACUGGGAUAACUUCGGGAAACCGGAGCUAAUACCGGAUAAUAUUUUGAACCGCAUGGUUCAAAAGUGAAAGACGGUCUUGCUGUCACUUAUAGAUGGAUCCGCGCUGCAUUAGCUAGUUGGUAAGGUAACGGCUUACCAAGGCAACGAUGCAUAGCCGACCUGAGAGGGUGAUCGGCCACACUGGAACUGAGACACGGUCCAGACUCCUACGGGAGGCAGCAGUAGGGAAUCUUCCGCAAUGGGCGAAAGCCUGACGGAGCAACGCCGCGUGAGUGAUGAAGGUCUUCGGAUCGUAAAACUCUGUUAUUAGGGAAGAACAUAUGUGUAAGUAACUGUGCACAUCUUGACGGUACCUAAUCAGAAAGCCACGGCUAACUACGUG
rnacentral:rRNA from 1 species